GGAAAGUACGUGCGAGGGGCUGGGGUAAUGCUGAGGGGGAUGGCUGUGUUCGGAAUUACUGGUCGGAAAGCGCACGUAGGCGGGUUUGUAAGUCAGGGGUGAACUCCCGGGGCUCAACCCCGGAACUGCCUCUGAAACUGGAAAGCUAGAAUCUUGGAGAGGCGAGUGGAAUUCCGAGUGUAGAGGUGAAAUUCGUAGAUAUUCGGAAGAACACCAGUGGCGAAGGCGACUCGCUGGACAAGUAUUGACGCUGAGGUGCGAAAGCGUGGGGAGCAAACAGGAUUAGAUACCCCAGUAGUC
rnacentral:rRNA from 1 species